rnacentral:rRNA from 1 species
GUUUGAUCAUGGCUCAGGACGAACGCUGGCGGCGUGCUUAACACAUGCAAGUCGAACGGUGAUGGCCAGCUUGCUGGUCUGAUCAGUGGCGAACGGGUGAGUAACACGUGAGCAACCUGCCCUUCACUCUGGAAUAACCACGGGAAACGGUGGCUAAUACCGGAUAUGAGACGUACACGCAUGUGUCGCGUCUGGAAAGAUUUAUCGGUGAAGGAUGGGCUCGCGGCCUAUCAGCUUGUUGGUGGGGUAGUGGCCCACCAAGGCGACGACGGGUAGCCGGCCUGAGAGGGCGACCGGCCACACUGGGACUGAGAUACGGCCCAGACUCCUACGGGAGGCAGCAGUGGGGAAUAUUGCACAAUGGGCGCAAGCCUGAUGCAGCGACGCCGCGUGAGGGAUGACGGCCUUCGGGUUGUAAACCUCUUUCAGCAGGGAAGAAGCGAGAGUGACGGUACCUGCAGAAGAAGCGCCGGCUAACUACGUGCCAGCAGCCGCGGUAAUACGUAGGGCGCAAGCGUUGUCCGGAAUUAUUGGGCGUAAAGAGCUCGUAGGCGGUUUGUCGCGUCUGCUGUGAAAACCUAAGGCUCAACCUUGGGCUUGCAGUGGGUACGGGCAGACUAGAGUGCGGUAGGGGUGACUGGAAUUCCUGGUGUAGCGGUGGAAUGCGCAGAUAUCAGGAGGAACACCGAUGGCGAAGGCAGGUCACUGGGCCGCAACUGACGCUGAGGAGCGAAAGCAUGGGGAGCGAACAGGAUUAGAUACCCUGGNAGUCCAUGCCGUAAACGUUGGGCACUAGGUGUGGGGCUCAUUCCACGA